GGCAGUAGCGCGGUGGUCCCACCUGACCCCAUGCCGAACUCAGAAGUGAAACGCCGUAGCGCCGAUGGUAGUGUGGGGUUUCCCCAUGCGAGAGUAGGGAACUGCCAGGC
rnacentral:rRNA from 1 species